AAAGGACUGAGCCAAUUCUGAUCAGCAGGCAGCAGCCAUUACCCUCUGAAGGUCAACGCAGUUAGGUGCAGUGACAGACACACUUGGAGGUGCCACAGCCUCCUGCGUGUCCUUGUACUCCAUGUCCAUUUGGUCUUCUUCACUGUGGGGCAUCCUCCUGGCCAACAAUAACUCCGACCAUCUUCAGGUGCUUGGCUGAAGAAAUAGCUUGCUGUAGAUGUCUCCUCUGCUUUCAUGGACCAGCGUUGGCAGUGCGACGAGCUUGAUUUCUCAGACCAGCUAGUUGGUGACUCCUCCGCUCUGCACACUUCCCUCUCAUACCUUCUCUUCUCUAGCUCCUCCUGCAACUGGCAAGGUCUCGUUCCCGUAAUAGAUCUCUCAUCCCAUGACCCAUUCUGGUUCUGCCCACCUGAGGAACCCUGGAGGAUGCCCCUGAAUAUUACCAUCUGCAGUGGGCAGUGUUCUCUCUGUCCCUUGAGGUUAUGAAAUUUCCAUCUUGUUCAACUUCAGAGAAGUAGAGUAUGUUCUAGCCCAGGAAGGACACUCACUCUCUCACUCACUCUGAUUUUGGCAGGUUCUAAAUCUGUCAUAACCUCACACAUCCAGUUAUUCAUGGACAAGGGAACAUGAGCUCAAUCUGACUUCUGCUUUUGGAGAGAAAGUGGGUGACCUGAUGUGUUUCUGAGAAAUGAGUCUAGGGAGGUGUGUGCCCCACUCUCUGCUCACUGCAUAUGUCCCCAUUGCAAGCACAUUUGUACCCCAGUGCUCAUCUUUACCUUUAUGAUGUCCUCCCAGGUGAGAAAUCACCCAAGUGGUCAUUGCCACCCCCUACUAUUUCAGUGUUUGGGGUUUUGGAAAUGAUUUACUGACAUUGUAUCAGAGCAUAGUAACAUUUAAUCAGGGGCUGGCUUUCUCAAGGACAAAUAUUUUCUGACAUCAGUUCCUAAGCAGAAGAGGCCAACA
rnacentral:lncRNA from 10 species